rnacentral:miRNA from 1 species
UACGCUCUUACCAGCUAGAAU